UACGUAGGGUGCAAGCGUUGUCCGGAAUUAUUGGGCGUAAAGGGCUCGUAGGCGGUCUGUCGCGUCGAAAGUGAAAACUCAGGGCUUAACCCUGAGCCUGCUUCCGAUACGGGCAGACCAGAGGUAUGCAGGGGAGAACGGAAUUCCUGGUGUAGCGGUGAAAUGCGCAGAUAUCAGGAGGAACACCGGUGGCGAAGGCGGUUCUCUGGGCAUUACCUGACGCUGAGGAGCGAAAGUGUGGGGAGCGAACAGG
rnacentral:rRNA from 1 species